rnacentral:rRNA from 1 species
GAUGAACGCUUUCUACAGGCUUAACACAUGCAAGUCGAGGGGCAGCAUGGUCUUAGCUUGCUAAGGCCGAUGGCGACCGGCGCACGGGUGAGUAACGCGUAUCCAACCUGCCUUACACUCUUGGACAGCCUUCUGGAAGGGAGAUUAAUACAAGAUGUUAUCAUGAGUAAGCAUUUUCACAUGAUUAAAGGUUUACCGGUGUAAGAUGGGGAUGCGUUCCAUUAGAUAGUAGGCGGGGUAACGGCCCACCUAGUCUUCGAUGGAUAGGGGUUCUGAGAGGAAGGUCCCCCACAUUGGAACUGAGACACGGUCCAAACUCCUACGGGAGGCAGCAGUGAGGAAUAUUGGUCAAUGGACGAGAGUCUGAACCAGCCAAGUAGCGUGAAGGAUGAAGGUUCUAUGGAUUGUAAACUUCUUUUAUACGGGAAUAAACGGAUCCACGUGUGGAUUUUUGCAUGUACCGUAUGAAUAAGGAUCGGCUAACUCCGUGCCAGCAGCCGCGGUAAUACGGAGGAUCCGAGCGUUAUCCGGAUUUAUUGGGUUUAAAGGGAGCGUAGAUGGGUUGUUAAGUCAGUUGUGAAAGUUUGCGGCUCAACCGUAAAAUUGCAAUUGAUACUGGCAGUCUUGAGUACAGUUGAGGUAGGCGGAAUUCGUGGUGUAGCGGUGAAAUGCUUAGAUAUCACGAAGAACUCCGAUUGCGAAGGCAGCUUACUAACCUGUAACUGACAUUGAUGCUCGAAAGUGUGGGUAUCAAACAGGAUUAGAUACCCUGGUAGUCCACACGGUAAACGAUGAAUACUCGCUGUAGGCGAUAUACAGUCUGCGGCCAAGCGAAAGCAUUAAGUAUUCCACCUGGGGAGUACGCCGGCAACGGUGAAACUCAAAGGAAUUGACGGGGGCCCGCACAAGCGGAGGAACAUGUGGUUUAAUUCGAUGAUACGCGAGGAACCUUACCCGGGCUUAAAUUGCAACCGAAUAUGGCGGAAACGCUAUAGCUAGCAAUAGCGGUUGUGAAGGUGCUGCAUGGUUGUCGUCAGCUCGUGCCGUGAGGUGUCGGCUUAAGUGCCAUAACGAGCGCAACCCUUGCCGAUAGUUACUAACAGGUCAUGCUGAGGACUCUGUCGGGACUGCCAUCGUAAGAUGUGAGGAAGGUGGGGAUGACGUCAAAUCAGCACGGCCCUUACGUCCGGGGCUACACACGUGUUACAAUGGGGGGUACAGAGGGCUGCUACCACGCAAGUGGAUGCCAAUCCCAAAAACCUCUCUCAGUUCGGAUUGAAGUCUGCAACCCGACUUCAUGAAGCUGGAUUCGCUAGUAAUCGCGCAUCAGCCACGGCGCGGUGAAUACGUUCCCGGGCCUUGUACACACCGCCCGUCAAGCCAUGGGAGCCGGGAGUACCUGAAGUGCGUAACAACAAGGAGCGCCCUAGGGUAAAACUGGUGACUGGGGCUAAG